CCCUUAGAUGUCCUGGGCCGCACGCGCGCUACACUGAGUGUCUGAGAUACGAGUCUGCCUGGUCCGGCAAGGUCUAGGUAAUCGUUAAAAGACACAUCAUGCUUGGGAUAGAUUAUUGCAAAUAUUAAUCUUGAACGAGGAAUUCCUAGUAAGCGCAAGUCAACAGCUUGCGUUGAUUACGUCCCUGCCCUUUGUACACACCGCCCGUCGCUACUACUGAUUGGAUGUUUAAGCGAGGUUCUCGAACUGCUAGCGACUUAGCUUCGGUGAGGUGCAGUGUGGGAAGUGAACCUAGCUUUGGUGUCUAGAGGAAGUAAAAGUCGUAACA
rnacentral:rRNA from 1 species